rnacentral:rRNA from 1 species
ACAGAAAGCAGCUUGCUGCUUUGCUGACGAGUGGCGGACGGGUGAGUAAUGUCUGGGAAACUGCCUGAUGGAGGGGGAUAACUACUGGAAACGGUAGCUAAUACCGCAUAACGUCGCAAGACCAAAGAGGGGGACCUUCGGGCCUCUUGCCAUCGGAUGUGCCCAGAUGGGAUUAGCUAGUAGGUGGGGUAACGGCUCACCUAGGCGACGAUCCCUAGCUGGUCUGAGAGGAUGACCAGCCACACUGGAACUGAGACACGGUCCAGACUCCUACGGGAGGCAGCAGUGGGGAAUAUUGCACAAUGGGCGCAAGCCUGAUGCAGCCAUGCCGCGUGUAUGAAGAAGGCCUUCGGGUUGUAAAGUACUUUCAGCGGGGAGGAAGGGAGUAAAGUUAAUACCUUUGCUCAUUGACGUUACCCGCAGAAGAAGCACCGGCUAACUCCGUGCCAGCAGCCGCGGUAAUACGGAGGGUGCAAGCGUUAAUCGGAAUUACUGGGCGUAAAGCGCACGCAGGCGGUUUGUUAAGUCAGAUGUGAAAUCCCCGGGCUCAACCUGGGAACUGCAUCUGAUACUGGCAAGCUUGAGUCUCGUAGAGGGGGGUAGAAUUCCAGGUGUAGCGGUGAAAUGCGUAGAGAUCUGGAGGAAUACCGGUGGCGAAGGCGGCCCCCUGGACGAAGACUGACGCUCAGGUGCGAAAGCGUGGGGAGCAAACAGGAUUAGAUACCCUGGUAGUCCACGCCGUAAACGAUGUCGACUUGGAGGUUGUGCCCUUGAGGCGUGGCUUCCGGAGCUAACGCGUUAAGUCGACCGCCUGGGGAGUACGGCCGCAAGGUUAAAACUCAAAUGAAUUGACGGGGGCCCCGCACAAGCGGUGGAGCAUGUGGUUUAAUUCGAUGCAACGCGAAGAACCUUACCUGGUCUUGACAUCCACGGAAGUUUUCAGAGAUGAGAAUGUGCCUUCGGGAACCGUGAGACAGGUGCUGCAUGGCUGUCGUCAGCUCGUGUUGUGAAAUGUUGGGUUAAGUCCCGCAACGAGCGCAACCCUUAUCCUUUGUUGCCAGCGGUCCGGCCGGGAACUCAAAGGAGACUGCCAGUGAUAAACUGGAGGAAGGUGGGGGAUGACGUCMAGUCAUCAUGGCCCUUACGACCAGGGCUACACACGUGCUACAAUGGCGCAUACAAAGAGAAGCGACCUCGCGAGAGCAAGCGGACCUCAUAAAGUGCGUCGUAGUCCGGAUUGGAGUCUGCAACUCGACUCCAUGAAGUCGGAAUCGCUAGUAAUCGUGGAUCAGAAUGCCACGGUGAAUACGUUCCCGGGCCUUGUACACACCGCCCGUCACACCAUGGGAGUGGGUUGCAAAAGAAGUAGUGUAGCUUAACCUUCGGGAGGGCGCUUACCACUUUGUGAUUCAUGACUGGGGU